UUGAUCCUGGCUCAGUACACACCGCCCGUCAGAGUUUGAUCCUGGCUCAGUACACACCGCCCGUCAGAGUUUGAUCGUGGCUCGGUACACACCGCCCGUGAGAGUGGAUGGACUCCUGGCCUAUCAGCUUGUUGGUGAGGUAAUGGCUCACCAAGGCGACGACGGGUAGCCGGCCUGAGAGGGUGACCGGCCACACUGGGACUGAGACACGGCCCAGACUCCUACGGGAGGCAGCAGUGGGGAAUAUUGCACAAUGGGCGCAAGCCUGAUGCAGCGACGCCGCGUGAGGGAUGACGGCCUUCGGGUUGUAAACCUCUUUCAGUAGGGAAGAAGCGAAAGUGACGGUACCUGCAGAAGAAGCACCGGCUAACUACGUGCCAGCAGCCGCGGUAAUACGUAGGGUGCGAGCGUUAUCCGGAAUUAUUGGGCGUAAAGAGCUCGUAGGCGGUUUGUCGCGUCUGUCGUGAAAGUCCGGGGCUUAACCCCGGAUCUGCGGUGGGUACGGGCAGACUAGAGUGCAGUAGGGGAGACUGGAAUUCCUGGUGUAGCGGUGGAAUGCGCAGAUAUCAGGAGGAACACCGAUGGCGAAGGCAGGUCUCUGGGCUGUAACUGACGCUGAGGAGCGAAAGCAUGGGGAGCGAACAGGAUUAGAUACCCUGGUAGUCCAUGCCGUAAACGUUGGGCACUAGGUGUGGGGACCAUUCCACGGUUUCCGCGCCGCAGCUAACGCAUUAAGUGCCCCGCCUGGGGAGUACGGCCGCAAGGCUAAAACUCAAAGGAAUUGACGGGGGCCCGCACAAGCGGCGGAGCAUGCGGAUUAAUUCGAUGCAACGCGAAGAACCUUACCAAGGCUUGACAUGUUCUCGAUCGCCGUAGAGAUACGGUUUCCCCUUUGGGGCGGGUUCACAGGUGGUGCAUGGUUGUCGUCAGCUCGUGUCGUGAGAUGUUGGGUUAAGUCCCGCAACGAGCGCAACCCUCGUUCCAUGUUGCCAGCACGUAAUGGUGGGGACUCAUGGGAGACUGCCGGGGUCAACUCGGAGGAAGGUGAGGACGACGUCAAAUCAUCAUGCCCCUUAUGUCUUGGGCUUCACGCUUAGACAAUGGCCGGUACAAUGGG
rnacentral:rRNA from 1 species